rnacentral:rRNA from 1 species
GUAGGGUGCGAGCGUUAAUCGGAAUUAUUGGGCGUAAAGCGAGUGUAGACGGUUAUUUAAGCCAGAUGUGAAAUACCCGAGCCUAACUUGGGAGGUGCAUAUGGAACUGGGUAGCUAGAGUGUGUCAGAGGGAGGUAGAACUCCACGUGUAGCAGUGAAAUGCGUAGAGAUGUGGAAGAAUACCGAUGGCGAAGGCAGUCUCCUGGGAUAACACUGACGUUGAGGCUCGAAAGCGUGGGGGGGAGCAAACAGGAUUAGAUACCCUGGUAGUCCACGCCCUAAACGAUGACAAUUAGCUGUUGGCCCCAUUAAGGGGGUGAGUAGCGGAGCUAACGCGUGAAAUUGUCCCGCCUGGGAGUACGGUCGCAAGAUUA